rnacentral:rRNA from 1 species
CGGGACGGGUGAGUAACGCGUGGAUAACCUGCCUCACACUGGGGGAUAACCGUUAGAAAUGACUGCUAAUACCGCAUAAGCGCACAGUACCGCAUGGUACGGUGUGAAAAACUCCGGUGGUGUGAGAUGGAUCCGCGUCUGAUUAGCCAGUUGGCGGGGUAACGGCCCACCAAAGCGACGAUCAGUAGCCGACCUGAGAGGGUGACCGGCCACAUUGGGACUGAGACACGGCCCAA